rnacentral:tRNA from 1 species
UGGGAAGUAACGCAGUCUGGUCAGCGUACUUGCUUUGGAAGCAAGGAGUCGGUGGUUCGAAUCCUACUUUCUCCG